ensembl:lncRNA
CAACUGCAACAACAAACAUGGCAGGUGCCACAACAACCACAGUUGCUCCAACAUCAACAUCGGCAACCACGUCAACCACAGCACUUCCCACAACAACUGCAGCUGCCACAACAACCACAGAACAUGCCACAUCAACUACAACUGCACCCACUUCAACCACAGAUACAGCCACAACAACUACAUCUGCCAGUACAACAACCACACCUGCUCCAACAUCAACAACAACUGCAACAACAAACACAGCAGGUGCCACAACAACCACAGUUGCUCCAACAACAGCCGAAGCCACCACGUCAACCACAGCACUUCCCACAACAACUAAAACUGCCACAACAACCAUAGAACAUUCCACGUCAACAACAACUGCACCCACGUCAACCACAGAUACAGCCACAACAACUACAACAACCACACCUGCUCCAACAACAACUACAGCUGUAGCCACUACAGGUACAACAACUACAACAACAGCUCAAACAUCAACCACUACUGAUGUCUCAUCAACUACACCUGCUCCCACAACUGCAACAACAAACAUGGCAGG